AUGGGUGCCGGUGCUUGAGAUUUAUUCGCUGAGGUGUUGCCUGUGCUCAUCGCUGCAGGGCUUCGUGUACCCGCCUCCUCGGCCUGGACAACGUCAAGGAAUCGAUGCGCAGGUAUUCCUCUCUAGCUCCUCUCUCUCUCUCUCUCUCUCUCUCUCUCUCUCUCUCUCUCUCUCUCUCUCUCUCUUCUCUCUCUCUCUCUCUCAGCUGUGCUAGGAUCUAGAUCCUCUCUCUGAUGUACAGCAGCGUCGCCCGAGCAGUAGCAGCAAAGCGACCUUGCAAAUCAAUCCAGCAGCCUGCAUGUGCGAGGUAUUCUUUGCCCCAUGCCCAGUUCGAAUCCUGCUCCUUACUUGCUCAAUGCUCAUUUUUUAUUCAUGGGUUGGUCACCUGCCAAAAAUUUGCUUCUGAGUAUUUAUGUGUUGCGUGCUUUCUUCAUAUGUGCGAAGUGAAAUUCGGUCCAAAUGCGCGAGGAGUUCAGGUGGAGCUGUUGGGUAGUCUGUAUCGAGCCAACACAGUGCAUCAAGGAACAGCACAAAGAGCCACCGACAUUGAGGCCAGCCAGCAACAACGUGUAUGGUUGGUCCUCUUGGUGAUUCAAAGAUAGUGUGUAGAAAAGAUUUAGUAUAAUUGGUUAUCCAAAAGAAGCCUUGAGCAGUAACAGAUGCUACUGUAAGAAGAUGUCUGCUAAGUGUGCUUAAGUUCAACACACUGGGGUUUACUUAUCAAUUUUGUAAGGAAAUUCAUGAAUCCUGGGUGUUUUCUACAUAGGCUCUGAAAUACUUUGGUUAUAAUGUUAUUCCAAAUGAAUUUAUAUGCAUAGAGAUAGGACAAAGGUGUGCAAGGAGAUGUUGUAAAAUCUCUCCUUUUUAGCGGCCAUUACAAUCCAUGUUGUCGUCAGGUUACUUAGUAGCUGAGAAGCAGUUUUGUGAAAUUGGGAAUUAUUACUCAUGAUAUUACUAUCUUAACAUUUACACAUUAUCUGGUGUAUUUCUAUUUCAUGAUCAAUUUGCAGCUUCAUAAUCAUCUGUUCCUAUCAUGAUCACCAACGUUUUUCGUGGUUCUAUAGCUUCAGAAUGAUACCAUGAAUGAUUUUAUGAGUACUGAGGUGGACAUAGGUCGACACAGAACACAUACAUCAGCUAUUGCGGUACAAAAUAGGAGCGUGCUCCAUGGUUUUCCGGGAGUUCAGGUGGCGCUCCAGGCCCCCUCCUGUUCCUACCUCUCUCUGGUGGAAUCCCAGCGUGCUCUAGCAAGGUGGUCCGCCGCGCUUCGACAAGCGGCAGCAAAUUCCGCCUCCUCUGCAUAUAGCAGGUGGCAGUAGCAUCGGAGGACUCCUCAAAAGCUGGCCUUGCCUUUCCUAUGAUGGAUAUAAUGGUUUUCUACCACACACCCAACGCGAGUUAGCCCGUGUGCUACAUGGUCGACAUCCAAGAAAACCUGUACAAGAAGGACUUCGACGGCGAAGAGAAGCAGGAGCAUGUCCUCAAGUGGCAGCAUAAAAGCUGUUGGAUCGUGGCAUACUCUUGCAGCUAACUUCGUGCACAGUCUGCUCCAUGCUACAGGUCACCGACCUCAAGAACUCAGGAGGCACCGCACUGUCACCCACCAGGCGGUGGCGCUGCUCCAGGAGUAUAACUACCCCAAGCUCAUCGCCAAGAAGGCAACGCCUAUAUCUGUUAUUGACAUGGCUUAUUUGGAAUUUUGCAGCUGCAUUAGUUGUGAUUCAACAUUGUGAUAGUGUAGGUUGAAAUUCAGUUGUAACUGAUUGUUCCUUAAAUCAGUUUCUGUAUCUCCACUGUUCAAUGUCAGGAGUGAACGAGUGGGGCCAGCAUGGUGUCAAAUUGAGUCCUGGUUUGAGUUGAUUUCUCUCUUUGGCAUGGGCGGUGGUAAUUAUAGUGCAAUCAGGAAUAUUUCCAUUUUGUUGGCUAACCCCCAUUUCUGAUAUGACCAGGAAUAUUAGUUUACUUAUCAAUUUCAGCUAUUGCAGCAUGACAGUUUGCUCUAUGUAUGAGCGUUAUGCUAUACCAUAACGUACCGGCGUUAUCUUCAACAGUACCAGUAUUUUCUUUGACGACUGAAGAUACAGAUGGAGCUUCACUGCUUCAGUAGUUGUGUCUAAUGGACAUGGUGCAUGGACAUCUCAAGCGUAGCCUCUCCCCAUGAGAUCAAUGCCGCCAGUAUUGGCGCCCUCACUGGAACAUGUGCAAGUGGAGACUUCUACAAGAGGAUCAGGUGGCAGGGCAAACAACAAGGAGAGGCAGUCAUGCAAACAUCGCCAACACCACCAGUUGUUAACAUGUGAGCUAGGUUCACGUCUUGGCAUGCUAUCUCUAUGUAACUGGAUAC